CCUACGGGAGGCAGCAGUGAGGAAUAUUGGUCAAUGGACGAGAGUCUGAACCAGCCAAGUAGCGUGAAGGAUGACUGCCCUAUGGGUUGUAAACUUCUUUUAUAUGGGAAUAAAAUGUUCCACGUGUGGGAUUUUGUAUGUACCAUAUGAAUAAGGAUCGGCUAACUUCGUGCCAGCAGCCGCGGUAAUACGGAGGAUCCGAGCGUUAUCCGGAUUUAUUGGGGUUAAAGGGAGCGUAGGUGGAUUGUUAAGUCAGUUGUGAAAGUUUGCGGCUCAACCGUAAAAUUGCAGUUGAAACUGGCAGUCUUGAGUACAGUAGAGGUGGGCGGAAUUCGUGGUGUAGCGGUGAAAUGCUUAGAUAUCACGAAGAACUCCGAUUGCGAAGGCAGUUCACUGGACUGCAACUGACACUGAGGCUCGAAAGUGUGGGUAUCAAACAGGAUUAGAUACCCUUGUAGUC
rnacentral:rRNA from 1 species